CCUACGGGAGGCAGCAGUGAGGAAUAUUGGUCAAUGGACGCAAGUCUGAACCAGCCAAGUAGCGUGCAGGAUGACGGCACUCCGGGUUGUAAACUUCUUUUAGUUGGGAAUAAAAGCUGGCUCGUGAGCCCCGUAUUGUAUGUACCAUCAGAAAAAGGACCGGCUAAGCCCGGGCCAGCACCCGCGGUAAUACGGAAGGUCCGGGCGUUAACCGGUUUUAUUGGGUUUAAGGGGAGCGUAGGCCGGCUUUUAAGUCAGCUGGGAAAGGCCGCGGCUCAACCGUGGAAUUGCAGUUGAAACUGGAGGCCUCGAGUGCGCACAGGGAUGGCGGAAUUCAUGGUGUAGCGGUGAAAUGCUUAGAUAUCAUGAAGAACUCCGAUCGCGAAGGCAAGUGUCCGGGGUGAAACUGACGCUGAGGCUCGAAAGUGCGGGUAUCAAACAGGAUUAGAUACCCCGGUAGUC
rnacentral:rRNA from 1 species